rnacentral:rRNA from 1 species
UCCGUAGGUGAACCUGCGGAAGGAUCAUUCACAAUGAGUGUUUUAUGGCACUCUUUAAAAAUCCAUAUCCACCUUGUGUGCAAUGUUUGUUGGGAGAGAGGCAACUCUUUCCCUUCACAAAUAUCAACCUAUAUCUUUAACAACAUUCGUCUGAUAACAUAUUAUGAAUAUACUUAAUUCAAAAUAUAACUUUCAACAACGGAUCUCUUGGCUCUCGCAUCGAUGAAGAACGCAGCGAAAUGCGAUACGUAAUGUGAAUUGCAGAAUUCAGUGAAUCAUCGAAUCUUUGAACGCACGUUGCACUCUCUGGUAUUCCGGAGAGUAUGCUUGUUUGAGUAUCAGUAAACACCUCAAGUCUCUUCUCUAGAGAAGAGAAUUGGACUUGAGCAACCCCAACUCUUUGCAAAAAGAGGCGGGUUGCUUGAAAUGCAGGUGCAGCUGGACAUUCUCCUGAGCUAAAAGCAUAUUCAUUUAGUCCCGUCAAACGGAUUAUUACUUUUGCUGCAGCUAACAUAAAGGGAGUUUGACCAUUUUGGCUGACUGAUGCAGGAUUUUUACAAGAGUCUUCAAAACCUCUUGUUAAACUCGAUCUCAAAUCAAGUAAGACUACCCGCUGAACUUAAGCAUAUCAAUAAGCGGAGGA